GAGGCGAAGUGCGUAUUAGUUAGAUUCUCAUCCAUAUUUAGCUUCUCUGCUAAAAAGAUUAGACUUUGACUUUAAGGAGUGUGGUUGGCCCCACACCUCUCUCACCUUGCUCCUCCUUUUCUAAUGUGUAACUAACUAGUUUCUGCAGUGCUGGAUUCAGGCAAGCUAGGGCUGGGCAGCUGCAUGUGCCACACUCUGUAGGACCUGGAAUGAAAGGAGGACCCCCAGCUCAUUAAACGAUGGGAGAUAAGUCCCAACAGAUAACCAGGACGUUGGCUUUCACUAUUUUCACCGCAGUGCUGAGUUCCUUCAAGUGUGGAUAUGACAUUGGUGUGAUCAAUACAUCUCAACAGGCAAGUGAAACACAGAAAUUCUUUCUGGCAACUGCUGUCAGUGACAAAAAGAUAUCAUCCUGUUUUUUGGAGAAGGGGUAAAAGUUUAUGUGGGGGACACCAG
rnacentral:lncRNA from 1 species